UUUCCCCUGCCUUGUUGGUGAUCGGGCAGCUAAAUUCGAGCCAACAUGACAUUAAGAGGGCGACCUAACGCUGUUUUCUGCAAGGAAGUCGCCACCGGCGAAUACCUUAACAGGGAAACACAGGUAACGCCCACCUAACGCGCUUAGGUUCGAUGUCACUGUUCGGGCACGGCACAGGCGGGGGAUUU
rnacentral:other from 1 species